AUGAAUGCCAAAAUUCUAGUAGUUAGGAUAUAUAGAACACCUAUCGUAGAUCCAGACCCCAGAAUUCUAAUAGUUAGGAUCUAUGGAGCAGCUAACGUAGACCCAGACCCCAGAAGUCUAAUAGCUAGCAUCUAUACAGCAACUACCGUAGUCCCAGAAACUAGAAUUCGAAUAGGUAGCAUCUAUACAGCAAUUAAUGUAUGCCCAGACCACACAAUUCUAGUAGGUAGCAUCUAUACAUCUCCAAAUGUAGGCCAGGAUACCAGAAUUGUAAUAGUUAACAUCUAUAUAACACCUAAUGUAUGCCCAGGCUGCAGAAUUCUAAUAGGUAGCACUAGGCCCAGACCCCAGAAUUUUAAUAGCUAGCAUCUAGACAGAACCUAAUGUAUACCCAGACCACAGAAUUCAAUUAGGUAGCAUCUAUAGAGAACCUAUUGUGGGCCCAGACCCCAGAAUUCUAAUAGCUAGCAUCUAUACAGCACCUAAUGUAUACCCAGACAACAGAAUUCUAGUAGGUAGCAUCUAUACAGCAUCUAUUGUAGGCCCAGACCCCAGAAUUCUAAUAGCAAACAUCUAUACAGCACCUAAGUAUGCCCAGGCCCCGGAAUUCUAAUAGGUAGCAUCUAUAUAGUACCUAAUGUAUGCCCAGACCACAGAAUUCUAAUAGUUAGCAUCUAUACAGCACCUAAUGUAUGCCCAGACCCCAAAAUUCUAGUAGGUAGGAUAUAUAGAGCACCUAUCGUAGGUCCAGAUCCCAGAAUUCUAAUAGCUAACAUGUAUAAAGCACCUAAUGUAAGCCCAGACCCCUUAAUUCUAAUAGGUAGCAUCUAUAUACCACCUAAUGUAUGCCCAGACCACAGAAUUCAAGUAGGUAGCACCUAUACUCUCAUAUUGUAGGCCUAGACCCCAGAAUUCUAAUAGCUAACAUCUAUACAACACUUAAUGUAUGCCCAGACGCAAGGAUUCUAAUAGGUAACCUAUACAGCACCUAAUGUAUACCCAGACCACAGAAUUCUAAUAGGUAGCAUCUAUACAGCACCUAAUGUAUGGACAGACCACAGAAUUCUAAUUGGUAGCAUCUAUACAGCAUCUAUUGUAGGCCCAGACCCCAGAAUUCUAAUAGCUAGCAUCUAUACAGCACCUAAUGUAUGCACAGACCCCAGAAGUCUAAUAGCUAGCAUCUAUACAGCACCUACCGUAGGCCCAGAAACCAGAAUUCUAAUAGGUAGCAUCUAUAAAGCGCCUAAUGUAUGCCCAGACCACAGAAUUCUAGUAGGUAGCAUCUAUACAACACCUAUUGUACGCCCAGAUGCCAAAAUUCUAGUAGUUAGGAUAUAUAGAGCACCUAUCGUAGGUCCAGACCCCAGAAUUCUAAUAGCUAACAGUAUAGCACCUAUAGCCAGACCCCAAUUCUAAUAGGUAGCAUCUAUAUACCACCUAAUGUAUGCCCAGACCACAGAAUUCAAGUAGGUAGCACCUAUACAGCACAUAUCGUAGGCCCAGACUCCAGAAUUCUAAUAGCUAGCAUCUAUACAGCACCUAAUGAAUGCCCAGACCCCAGAAUUCUAAUAGGUAGCAUUUAUACAGCACCUAAUGUAUGCCCAGACGACAGAAUUCUAGUAGAUAGCAUCUAUACAGCACCUAUCGAAGGCCCAGACGCCAGAAUUCUAGUAGGUAGCAUCUAUGCAGCACCUAAGUAUGCCCAGGCCCCAGAAUUCUAGUAGGUAGCAUCUAUAUAGCACCUAAUGUUUGCCCAGAACACAAAAUUCUAAUAGUUAGCAUCUAUACAGCACCUAAUGUAUGCCCAGACCCCAAAAUUCUAGUAGGUAGGAUUUAUAGAGC
rnacentral:lncRNA from 1 species